UCCAUAAAUCAAUGAUACAUUUCUGAACUAUCGAUUGUCGUAAUUGGUUCAUAGAUCUAGAUGAAUAUAUUAUUCGUUAGAAUUUUCAUAUGAGUGGAGAGGGCUAUCGACAGUGGAAACGUUAAGUUUAUACAUCGUUUAUCUUUUGAGAAGAGUGAUCCUUCUGCUUCUAGAGAAGAGUUUCGAAAUUCUUUAUCUCUUAUCUCUUCUGAUAUAUUUGUAAUUAUUUAAUUGGAUAAUACACUUCCACUGCCAAAGAGAAGAUUGUUAGUGAGAUAUACGUUCAAGGGAUUGUUUUUGCAAGUACUUAAUAUUAUGUCGAUCUGUUAUCUUUUCACAAAAAUGUAUAUCUUUUGAUUGUUUGUGGAUAUCACAUAAGGAAGAUAUAAAUCUUUAUAAACAUCCAUUGUUACAUAUAAGUUAAGAAUAUGAACACAGCAUUUCAAGUCCUUAGACAACAAAGAAACCCUUUGCUCAGAAAAGAUACUGGAAGGUAUUCACUAUUAAUUUUCUUAUUCAUAUCAUUAUAUUUUUCCAUCCUACUAUUAUAUGAAUUUUCAUUUAAAUAUCCACUAAAAUUUGUAGUAUCGGUGAUAGUAUUUGAAUCUUCCAAUUCUUCCACUUCAAAUAUUUUAAAAGCUCCUAUAAGCUUAUUUAUAU